rnacentral:rRNA from 1 species
UACGGAGGAUGCAAGCGUUAUCCGGAAUGAUUGGGCGUAAAGCGUCCGCAGGUGGCUAUGUAAGUCUGCUGUUAAAGAGUGAGGCUCAACCUCAUAAGAGCAGUGGAAACUACAUGGCUAGAGUGCGUUCGGGGCAGAGGGAGUUCCUGGUGUAGCGGUGAAAUGCGUAGAUAUCAGGAAGAACACCGCUGGCGAAAGCGCUCUGCUAGGCCGCAACUGACACUGAGGGACGAAAGCUAGGGGAGCGAAUGGG